rnacentral:rRNA from 1 species
AUUGAACGCUAGCGGGAUGCCUUACACAUGCAAGUCGAACGGAGUGGCGAACGGGUGAGUAAUGUAUCGGAACGUGCCCAGUAGCGGGGGAUACAUACGCGAAAGCGUAGCUAAUACCGCAUACUAUUGGAGCGGCCGAUAUCGGAUUAGCUAGUUGGUGUGGUAACGGCUAACCAAGGCGACGAUCCGUAGCUGGUUUGAGAGGACGACCAGCCACACUGGGACGGAGACACGGCCCAGACUCCUACGGGAGGCAGCAGUGUGGAAGUUUGGACAAUGGGGGAAGCCCUGAGCCAGCCAUCCCGCGUGUGUGAUGAAGGCCGUCGGGUUGAAAAGGUCUGUUCGCAGGAAAGCGGUACCUGCAGAGUAAGCUCCGGCUAACUACGGGCCAGCCGCCGCGGUAAUAC